GUCAGGUCACUUGGUGUCUGCAACAUAACAUUACGGUGUCAAAAUAUUCAGCAUUCUUCAUUCUGACCAGUUAAGAAAUGAAUAAAUAUUAAUUAUCAUUGAACAUUGCUCACGGGAGAGUUUGGGAUGAAUAUACCACACUAUAGAAAGUUAACACUGUUCAGUUCUGUGGAACAGCAAUAUGGGGACAUUCGAACACAGGCUCUCCAGAGUUAGGUUAAGACAAAAGUCAUGUCACCUGAAACACACUCAGGUUUUUCAGGUCUCAAGAAAUAUGAGGACAUGACGACUGAAAUCAUGGAGAGUCUAUGUUUCUGACUUAUAACUUCUCCUGUGUUUGUCAAAGAAAGCUGAAAACUCAAACCUAGUAUAUCAUGAUAAGAAGUAGUAACCUGUUGUAAGAAUGAAGUGGAUAUCUCACUCCAUUCAUGGUCUCCAGAGGGUUCAGUCAGGUCACUUGGUGUCUGCAACAUAACAUUACGGUGUCAAAAUAUUCAGCAUUCUUCAUUCUGACCAGUUAAGAAAUGAAUAAAUAUUAAUUAUCAUUGAACAUUGCUCACGGGAGAGUUUGGGAUGAAUAUACCACACUAUAGAAAGUUAACACUGUUCAGUUCUGUGGAACAGCAAUAUGGGGACAUUCGAACACAGGCUCUCCAGAGUUAGGUUAAGACAAAAGUCAUGUCACCUGAAACACACUCAGGUUUUUCAGGUCUAAAGAAAUAUGAGGACAUGACGACUGAAAUCAUGGAGAGUCCAUGUUUCUGAUUUAUAACUUCUCCUGUGUUUGUCAAAGAAAGCUGAAAACUCAAACCUAGUAUAUCAUGAUAAGA